UUUAUCUGUAUCAUCUCCAUUUAUUUCUCAGGGGUGAUGAGAAGACUUUGCAUUUGACCAAAAAGCACUAGUAAAUAAGGAGUUAAAAUGAAGGCAGGCUCGCUGGUUUGCUGAGAUCUGUCAGAGUCUGACUGGCUGGCUACAUAUCUGUCUCUGGAACAAUAGGUACCUGUAUUCUGCACGGACUGCUGGGCAGCACUAGCACUCUGGAGAAGGUCUGCCGCUGUCUGCACUUUCCUGGUUCUAUGCAGGCAGAUGAGUGUCACAGCUGUAACUGAGGCACAGAGCAGUACACACAGUGGAGCCGAUUUCCGCGAUGGCGAGAGGGGGCACCGGAGGUGACAACAAUAACAAGACUGUCCUUCGGACAAGUUUUAGAUUCUCAGGAUGAUGGAGUGAGUGAUGGAAUAGGUUGCCAACUGUAGUUACUCCACUCAGCACAGAAUGGCUGCGGGGAAAUAUAAUCAGACAUGCCCAAAGAAGUCUGCUUAGGGUGAAACAAAUACCUUUGAGGUUUAAAUCAGAAAGGAAGGAGAGACUGUUUCUACAGGUGUCAUACAAAAAUCAAUACUGAGCCAAGGAUUAUUGGAUCCCAUAGAACCACGGAGACUUGGUAGUGAAAUUCUUCCAAAGCAUUCCAUCCGUGCAGGCAGAUGGUGUUCCUAGGUUUGGAAAUAUAAAUCCCAUGGGAAGUCAGCUGAAGACCAUUUUAUGCAUCACUCAUCCUGUUAGAGCCCUGUGCUGUUCUGUCUCUCUAUAAGACUGGCUGAAACCACCACGGUUGUUUACAAUUUAUGCUCUAACUUUGGAUCACCUAGUUAAUACUCUAACUCCGAUUAUUACCAAAGACAAUGUUCUAUAAAAGAUAUUGUCUAUUAGAAGGAUGCUUCUGCAUUAUUAAUAAAAUCACAGGGAAAAUGCAACAUUUUGGAUGUCACAUCUGAUAAGUUGGCAGUUAAAGAACAGAAACAGCAAUAAGACUGCGUGGCUACAUUUUCCCAGUGCCACCAACUGGGAUUUAAGCUGACUAACAUUUUGAAAGCCCAGCCCAUUUCAUUCACAGCAGGAUGGCAGUGGGUGACUGAUCGUACCCGCCAGCUGGCUAAUGUCAUAAUUAACAAAGUUGCUACUACAUCUGCAAAGUUUAAUCGAAAAAUUUGCCAGUGAUAUGAUGGCCUUGUCACAGAGAUCACAAGGGACACGGAGUUGACUUUUGCUCAAGGUGGAACGACAGAGCUGUGUAGGCAAGAUGAGAAAUUGCGAACUUGUUCGGCCAAAGGAGGCUAAUAAUGAAGGGGCCGGGAAGGAGGCCAGUGCUACCAGGGUUAUCUCACAACCUCAGAUGCUGGAUAAGUCGACGGAGGCAGAAUCGCUUUGGGAUGACAUUCAGAAAGCCUGGAGUGAUUACUUGCAAGAGAAAAGCCUACCUAUUCUUUCCAAGGUGCAGGAAUAUUCCCCUGACCUGCUCAUCCAGUGGUCCAGUAAUGAAUUACUGGAGACCUGCCUUAGACAAAGAAUGCACUCGGAGCCCCAACACACCUAAAGCCAUGCUUUGAAGGAUCUGCCAAGCUCACUUUUAAUCAUGAGAAAGAAAUUACCCACACGGAGUCAGCAGAAAAUGAGAAAGUAGAGCUCGUGCUGUGAAUAAUUCCAGCAAGUGCCAAGGGGCUAGUUGAGGAAUGGCUUCAUGAGAUGUUAGUCUAAAACAGCACCUUGGAUCUAAGCAGCACCUUUGAGAAAGAAAAGACUGCUUCAAGAAUGUCUAGUUGCACCUCCUUUCCGUAUGUGGCCUAAAUGCCUAGGUUGGAUCAAUAGUUUAAUUUUUUUAUUGAACUGUUUAAUAUUGACUAUGGACUUACAUUCACUUUUACUGUUUUCUGUAUAUUUACUUUUGCUUGAAGUGUUUUAAUAUUGACUAUUUACCUCUGCUCAUUUUUAUUGAUUUUCUGUAUUUUUUCAAUGAAAAUUAUAAUAAAAAUUAUUUUUGUUA
rnacentral:lncRNA from 1 species